AUAAGAAAAACCGCAAGCCAAGAGACAGUGAGAACAGGUGCAAGCAGACUAAUGUUGGAAAUAAACUCAGCUAUAUAAAAGCAGGGAGGAAGGGACAAGUCUACAUGGGAAAUCAGUGCAGAGGGAGAGAAGAACGGUCUGGGACAGGAGCAAGGUUAGAGCAGGUAUGGGAUAUUGUGUCGGGUGUGAAAGGCAAGGUUAAUGGGAGGGCAUUAACCCUAUUAUUAACCUAUUAUUGCUGCUCCUCUUUGUCCCCCCUCGCCUUCCUUUUCUUCUUAACCAUCCUUUCUCCUCUCCUGCCAGACCAGCACCCAUUCAGGUUCUAGCCCUCCUGGUGUCAGGAUGAGGUGACCAUGUGAAAAUUUUACUUAGGCCUUAUUCCAAAUUCCCUUUGAUUUAACUGUUCAGUAAGUCACCUCAAUUUCUCUGUUGAAUAUUUCUGGAACAGCAAAUCCCUGACAGGAUCUGAAUGCACAUCUAAGCUAUAUAAUUUUCAAGUUGCAUUGCACUUCCUUAUUUAAACACUGCUUUAUUAUUAAGUAUUCUGUGUGUGUGUGUGUAUAUAUAUAUAUAAUGUACAGAUUUUCAUGAAUGAAUAAUGAGCAAGUAAAUAACCUCUUAUUUUACAGUCCAAAUACCUUACAACCACUGAUUUAAAUUAUAUACCUUUUAGUUGUGCCUGCUGUUAUGAGCACAAUCUACUGCACAAAGUAAACAACAGGAGACAAAUUAACAUACUUGCAAUACAAAAAUAUUAAUUUUAGAUCGAUAAACUAAAUCAGGUAUUUUGUAAUACAGGGAACAAACUAAUAUAAAACAGAAUAAACAUAUCAAAAUGUACAGAAAGUAUAUUUUUUUUUACAUACAGCUGAUGCUAUUACAUUACAAUGAACAAGUUUUAUUAUAUAGAAUCAAUCUUCAACAUGACUCUGAUGGCGCAAAUCAGUAUUUUGUCUUUAAAUAUAUAUAAUAACUGAUCAGUGAAAUUUCUGUAAACAUCACUAAAUGACCUUAUUUAAUAUUUAGGCUGAUGGCCAAUAUAACCAAGUAUACCAUUACAAAAUCUGAAAAACUUCAUUAUGAAGUUAUGUAUUCUUUUUAUUCUUGGGAUAUGGUGAUACACAGUCCCUUGGUACUUAGGCUUUAAAUGGCCCACUGUACCAGCCCAGAUGACAGAUGAGAGAUAUGGAGCAUUCGGAAGAAUGAGAAUUUGCAAGGAAAAUCAAAGUACUUACAGAAAACCUGCCCCAGUGUCAUUUUGUCCACCACAAAUCCCACAUGAAAUGACUGGGAUUAAGAGUGACUGCCACAGUGAGCUGGAAACUAACCACCUGAGCUAUGGUAAGGCCAAAUUAUAUAACUUUCAUAUAUAAAAGCACAGUAAAUAUGUUUUACAAGGAAAUAUAUUUUGAAACAUAACCAUAUAUAUAUUUGAUGCUUUGUAAAUCUUUAAAAUGAAUCUGCCAAUCACCAAAAUUAUAUUUCAUGCAUGUAUUAAAACUGGAGACACUGAACAACUUUUCAUACAUGUGAUUUUAUAAAUUUUUGCACAACAGUAAACAAUUUAGCUUAUGUACUUCUGUAAGGAGCUCUGGAAACGGUCCGCUCCGUAGAGAGUGCAUCGAGGAUGGUACCGAAAGUCGACGGUAACGAUGAAUCCAGAACAGAAAGAAGACAAAGGGUGCAUGUUUUUUCACUGGUGCAGGAGAAAGAAAACACAGAAGAAGAUAACUGAUCCAGUUCCAGAUGAUUCGUUACCAACAGAGAAUCAGCAAGAGAGAUCAUCCAUUCUGAUGCCCCAGUUUCACGUGAUAGUAUCCAGGGGGGGGGGACAUGAGAUGUGCACAGGUGACUGAUUCCAAGCUUGAGUGAUCAAAGCUAGUAACUGGGACUUCAGGAGUAAAAGGUAUGCUGGAUGUCAUUGCUUUGUGCACAUUCUGCCAGCAUUUUACAGCAAAGUUCCCCCCAAAGUGGACUGCUGGAGAGAGAAACCUAAAAUUUGUGGUGAAUGCAAGAAGGUUCUGAUAACAGGCAAUACGUUAACAACAAGGAAUCAUCAAGUCCGCUUCCCUUCUCUGAUGCCGCCCAGGCAUGGGAAAGGAG